AUAAUGAGCUAUCGAGGUUGUGUUUAAGGAACCCCGUGAGAUUCGGGGGCUGUGCCGCAACCGUUAAAGCCGGAAAACUAACAACCUUCUUUUGUCCCGA
rnacentral:ncRNA from 1 species